rnacentral:lncRNA from 1 species
UGAGACACUUCAUUACAUGGGGUAUUUUCUCCUGCUCAGAAAAACCAGCGCCACUUGCCCAGCUGCAGUGAAAAGAGUCAGCAUGCAGCAUCUGGGGACAGGCCUGCCUGGCACUGGGGAGCAGCCCACCAGGCCUUGCCCCCGACCUGGCACCCGGGGCAGACAGAGGUGUGUGUGUGUCCGCCAGCCCACACGGCGUGCAGGGGGACAACAGCAAGGCAGAGUGCUGAAACAUGUGGCUCUGGGUUGCUGAGACCUAGGAACAAAUCUGCUUUGGUAACUGCUGUGGUUUCCAGACCUGAGGCAGAUGUCAGAGCCAGAGCCAGUCUUCUGAAGGAGAGCCAGGGUGGAUGUCUUGAGGAAUGGCCCUGCAAUGUCACAGCAAGCAUGCACAGUAGUGAUUACUCCCAUCAUCUGCCACGAAAAGGACCUAUGGCCAUUUCUCCUAAGGCAAGAGAAUGACUCAGAUCUUUGAAGAGCUUUGGAUAGAACAUUUGAGCUGAAACCAAUACCACAGGACCCAAAAUGCCAUCACAGCCCUCCUAUUGAUGUGGGGAAGUCCUGGCUUCAAAUCCAUCUGAUACAUGGCUUGAUAAGUGGUGCGUAGGUCUGUGCCCGGAUCCAAACCGCUGAAGCCCAGGCGGCCAAAGCAGAGUGUGUGAACAUAACCUCCACACCACCCGGCCAGCCCCAAGCUGACUUUUUACAGCUGCAGUCCCCUGGGGAAGAGUGAGAAUGUUACAACAACUGAGUUUCCUGCUUCAGGCCCAUCAGCUUCCAAUAAGUGAAGACUCUGUCUGGCUCUACUUCAGCCACUUGUCUAUAAUUCAAAGCCCACAAGGAAGCUCAAGUAAAAAAAAAUGUCCCACACUUUAAGGACAAACAAACGAAUGACAGAAGGCUUCACCUCAUCAAACUUGCUCAAGUUCGCUGCCCCAUGGUGGUGGGCCAUGGGCCUCCCAGGAUAGCAAACGUUUUAUAGUACAGCAGCCUGAAAAGUUCUGAGAUACAGAGGGUAAGUCAUGAGUUACAACUGAACACACCAGGGC